UGCUCAACUGAUGACUGAUGACCGAUGA
rnacentral:piRNA from 1 species